CCUUGCACCUCUCUUGCCCUUCCCCCACCCUUCUGCUAAAACGAGUGCAGCGCACCAGCUUUCUCAAGUCACGCGAUCAGGUCUCCAUUGACAUUUUAAAAUUACGUUUUUAUGGAAAAAUAACAUAUUUAGACUAUUCGGAUGUCUGAAAAAACAUUCAUAUUCUGAAAUCACUUCAAAUGCCCAUCUCUACACUUAACACCAAUCGUCAGACCAAUCAUUAGGCUGACCAAGACAAAAGAAAGACAAUGCAGCUUAGUGCAUCCCUUCCUUGGCUUGUUUCCAGACUCCUGUACAGUAAGAGCAGACAUACAGUCUAUACCUCUUCAACUACAGUAUUAAGACACUAACCCUGUUAGCAGGCAUGGUAGGGGAGGACUAGGUCGGUAUAGUCAACAGUAGACUAGCUCCAGUAAGGGGGGACUAGGUCGGUAUAGUCAACAGUAGACUAGCUCCAGUAAGGGGGGACUAGGUCGGUAUAGUCAACAGUAGACUAGCUCCAGUAAGGGGGGACUAGCUCCAGUAAGGGGGGACUAGGUCGGUAUAGUCAACAGUAGACUAGCUCCAGGAAGGGGGGACUAGUUCAGUAUAGUCAACAGUAGACUAGCUCCAGUAAGGGGGGACUAGGUCGGUAUAGUCAACAGUAGACUAGCUCCAGUAAGGGGGGACUAGGUCGGUAUAGUCAACAGUAGACUAGCUCCAGUAAGGGGGGACUAGGUCGGUAUAGUCAACAGUAGACUAGCUCCAGUAAGGGGGGACUAGU
rnacentral:lncRNA from 1 species